rnacentral:ncRNA from 1 species
UUACGUGCAAUGAGAAAGAAUAGUACAUUUUAUUAUCGUUUCAUAGAGAGCUUGUGGUUGGUGCGAACAAGUAGCGAUAUAGAAUGGAAUGGACUUUUGAGCACUCAAUCUGAACAUGUAUUACUUACAUCAGUAGGAAUUGACGUGAAUGUCUACACGAUAUCAUAGACUCAGUUUUCAACUGGUAUUAAGUGAUUUCUUUCUUUAAGAAAUAAUUAGGGUGGCACCACGGUCCAUUCGUCCCUAGC